UUCUUAUGAUGAGAGGCGGAGGGACUGGCCCUUUGAAGCCUCGGCAGCGGACUCGCAAUUUGAGUACUGUGCCAAUUCCAGCAGGCAUUUGCCUGAGAGAUAAGAA
rnacentral:ncRNA from 1 species